ensembl:lncRNA
GUAUGUUAGCUCAAUUGCUUGUGUAUUAUGAAUUGGUUAUUGUCCCCCUCUUAAAAAAAAACAAACCGUGGCGUGAACAUUACUGACUACAAAUCUCUACUAGUGACCAUAUUAACUGUCUUUUAGACUUGGCCAACCGUGGCCAGAGUCAGCUGCAAAGGUCAGUGGUGCAGUGCUGCAGAUUCUCAAACCCACACCACAACUGAAUGGCCUGUUAGAGUGCAAAGCCACCAACACAUAUGGGACAAGUCAAGGUCACCUCUACCUGCACUUAUCUUCUGAAGGAUCCUGUGUUGCUGGCUGGAUCAUGUUUUGUCUUCUGCUUUUUGCCAAUUCUGUUGCUGCUGCAAUGUGUUGGUAUAGGUCACACAAAAAGUGUGCACUUCCCUGUGACACCACAGAGGAGGAUUUCAGAGCAACGGACAGAACUUCAGGGGAACCUAGAGAGCUACGGCCUUUAGAAGGGACACAAGAGGCUGAGUCUGAGACGGAGCCUUGACUCUAUUUAUUUGUAUCUUCAUCAAAAGCAGCUACACUCUUUUGUUACGGUUCUUUUCACUUUACAAUAUGUUAUUAACACAUUACAAGGUUGUAGAUUUCUUUAGUGUGAGUGUUUACCAAGUUCAACAUUUGUGUACAAUUAUAAUGAUUUUUUUUUUUUUAAUGCUCUCAUUGAAUUAUUUGUAUGAAAAGCACAAGGGUCAAGGAUUCACAAAAUGUGUAUAAUACAAAUACAUGUAUUAUUUGACUAUACUGUAUGUGCCAAAUUGUUUAAUUGAAAUACAUUUACAGUAUGUGACACUUGUAGUGGAUCGAGACACUAUUGUAUUUUUAAAAAUUUUAUAUCCUUAUACUGAUAUACUGUAUAUUGUGUACUUUUACUGAUUUACUAAGCAUUUGCAUACAUGAAAAAUAGAUAGUGUCUUUCAUAAAUGGUUAAAUGCUACUCAUUCACAUAUCAGAUUAGUGCCACUGUUGUUUGAUAAAUGUUUGCUGAUGCCUUCUGAUUUUUAUGUGCCUUGACAUUCCCUUUGUUGCCACUGACUAGACUGUUAAAUUCUGAAGCGAGUGUAUUCUCAAAGUAUAGCGAUCUGUCAUGUUAUUUAUUUUGUUGUUAUGCUACUAUGGUUGUUGAUUUGUGAGCCUUUACCAGAGGCGUAGCUUGCCAUAAGGCAAGGCAGGCAGCUGCCUGGGGCCCCCAACUGUGAAGGGCCCCCAUGCACCAACCUCUUUUUCAGACGCCUGCAGUAAACGCUUGAUAUACACAGUCUUCCUAAUGAUUUUGGUGAUGCAGUUACAUCAUCUCUUCACCGACGCUCUGUGGCGCUGUUUAUCCCCAUCCUGCUGCAUGAUUUAGUGAGUCAUGGUUCCCUAAUGUUAACUUAAUGAGCAGUGGACAGACUUUUUACUCAUGGCUCCACCAGAUUAUAUUUCUAAUAGUGAAACCAGUUUAUUGUAACUCUCUUCAUGACCUAAAGAACCUCAGCCUUCUGUUCUGAGGAAAAUUUAGGCAGAGAACUGCAUUAUGGGAGUUGUCAGGUGACCCGCUCCUGCUCAAAUGACAUCCUCUCUCCCAGUGCGUAGUACACCGAUCGGCCACCAGAGGGCCCCAACCGACAUUCUUGCUUGGGGCCCCUUGGUACCCUUGCUACGCCACUGGCCUUUACCGGUCUUUCCUGAAAUGUUGGGCUGAACAAACAGUGAUUGUUUUAUUUUUGUGUGUGUCUGUGAAA